rnacentral:rRNA from 1 species
UAUUAAAGAAAUUCGGUAUGAGAUGGGGAUGCGUUCCAUUAGUUUGUUGGGGGGGUAACGGCCCACCAAGACUACGAUGGAUAGGGGUUCUGAGAGGAAGGUCCCCCACAUUGGAACUGAGACACGGUCCAAACUCCUACGGGAGGCAGCAGUGAGGAAUAUUGGUCAAUGGACGCGAGUCUGAACCAGCCAAGUAGCGUGAAGGAUGACUGCCCUAUGGGUUGUAAACUUCUUUUAUAUGGGAAUAAAGUUGUCCACGUGUGGAUUUUUGUAUGUACCAUAUGAAUAAGGAUCGGCUAACUCCGUGCCAGCAGCCGCGGUAAUACGGAGGAUCCGAGCGUUAUCCGGAUUUAUUGGGUUUAAAGGGAGCGUAGGCGGAUUGUUAAGUCAGUUGUGAAAGUUUGCGGCUCAACCGUAAAAUUGCAGUUGAUACUGGCAGUCUUGAGUGCAGUAGAGGUGGGCGGAAUUCGUGGUGUAGCGGUGAAAUGCUUAGAUAUCACGAAGAACUCCGAUUGCGAAGGCAGCUCACUGGAGUGUAACUGACGCUGAUGCUCGAAAGUGUGGGUAUCAAACAGGAUUAGAUACCCUGGUAGUCCACACAGUAAACGAAGAAGACUCGCUGUUUGCGAUAUACAGUAAGCGGCCA